rnacentral:rRNA from 1 species
UACGUAGGAGGCAAGCGUUGUCCGGAGUACUGGGCGUAAAGCGCACGCAGGCGGUCUUGUCAGUCUGUAGGGACAGGGCACAGCUCAACUGUGUCAGGCUUACGGAAACUGCAAGACUUGAGGGCUUCAGAGGGAUGGGGAAUUCCGGGUGGAGUGGUGAAAUGCGUAGAGAUCCGGAAGAACACCAAAGGCGAAGGCAACCAUCCUGGGGAGUCACUGACGCUCGGGUGC